CAUGCUUAGAAGCAUGCAUGUGGGUUCCUGUCAUAACUAUAAGGGGAAGGGUAACCACCUUUCUGUAUACAGUGCUAUAAAGUCCCUCCUGGCCAGAGGCAAAACCCUUUUACCUGUAAAGGGUUAAGAAGCUCAGGUAACCUGGCUGGCACCUGACCCAAAAUGACCAAUGAGGGGACAAGAUACUUUCAAAUCUGGAGGGGAGGAAAAGGCUUUUGACUGUCUGUGUGAUAUCUUUGCUGGGAACAGAUCAAGGAUGCAAGCCCUCCAACUCCUGUAAAGUUACGAAAACUUGAAGGUGUGCCAGGGCAGUCUAUCCGUGCGGGGAAGGCGGGGAACUGUCCAGGCUGGGAUUACCCCGUCAGAAGGGAGAGAGAUGAGAUCUCCACUCAAGAGAGGGCAGAGGAGCUCUCAGCAUAAAGCCACUCCUGCACCAGCUUCCUCCCACCAUAACAGAGCGGGCACAUGAAGAUCAAAGGAAAACAGAGAAACCAGAAACACCAGGUGGAGCAGCUAUGGAAGUGAAGCCCUUGGAGAGCAAAGGGCUAUGGUUGGGAAAGGAGGAGAAGGCAACCCAAAGUGACAAUUGGUCAAAGAAAUAAAAAUCAAGGGGAACAUCCACAGUCAGUGUGUUUGCUCAGUUUAGAGAGAAGAAGAAUGGUAAGGGGACAAAAUAAAGUAGACAAACCAACGAAUGGUGGGGCUAGACAAUGAAAAUUCUAUUAAAAGAAAUACUUUUCACCAUAGAUAAUUAACCCGCGGAACUCACCACCACAGGACAUGAUAGAAAUCAAGAGUUUAAGAAGAUUAAAAAAAGAGGAGCCAUUUGUCUGGAUAAUGAGAACAUGGAUAGCUAUGUUAGGAUAAAUUUAAAAAUAAGUAUAAACUGUCAUGCUGCAGGGAACAAGCCAGACAUUAACUGA